rnacentral:rRNA from 1 species
CGGCGGACGGGUGAGUAACACGUGGAUAACCUACCUAUAAGACUGGGAUAACUUCGGGAAACCGUAGCUAAUACCGGAUAAUAUAUUGAACCGCAUGGUUCAAUAGUGAAAGACGGUUUUGCUGUCACUUAUAGAUGGAUCCGCGUCGCAUUAGCUAGUUGGUAAGGUAACGGCUUACCAAGGCAACGAUGCGUAGCCGACCUUAGAGGGUGAUCGGCCACACUGGAACUGAGACACGGUCCAGACUCCUACGGGAGGCAGCAGCC